rnacentral:rRNA from 1 species
UGGGGAAUAUUGCACAAUGGGCGCAAGCCUGAUGCAGCAACGCCGCGUGCGGGAAGAAGGCCUUAGGGUUGUAAACCGCUUUCAGCAGGGAAGAAAAUGACGGUACCUGCAGAAGAAGGUGCGGCCAACUACGUGCCAGCAGCCGCGGUGACACGUAGGCACCAAGCGUUGUCCGGAUUUAUUGGGCGUAAAGAGCUCGUAGGCGGUUCAGUAAGUCGGGUGUGAAAACUCUGGGCUCAACCCAGAGACGCCACCCGAUACUGCUGUGACUUGAGUACGGUAGGGGAGCAGGGAAUUCCUGGUGUAGCGGUGAAAUGCGCAGAUAUCAGGAGGAACACCGGUGGCGAAGGCGCUGCUCUGGGCCGAAACUGACGCUGAGGAGCGAAAGCGUGGGUAGCAAACA